UAAGCGGAGGAAAAGAAACCAACAGGGAUUGCCCCAGUAACGGCGAGUGAAGCGGCAACAGCUCAAAUUUGAAAUCUGGCCCCCCGGGGCCCGAGUUGUAAUUUGCAGAGGAUGCUUUUGGCGAGGCGCCUUCCGAGUUCCCUGGAACGGGACGCCACAGAGGGUGAGAGCCCCGUCUGGUUGGAUGCCGAGCCUCUGUAAAGCUCCUUCGACGAGUCGAGUAGUUUGGGAAUGCUGCUCUAAAUGGGAGGUAUAUGUCUUCUAAAGCUAAAUAUUGGCCAGAGACCGAUAGCGCACAAGUAGAGUGAUCGAAAGAUGAAAAGCACUUUGAAAAGAGGGUUAAAUAGUACGUGAAAUUGUUGAAAGGGAAGCGCUCAUGACCAGACUUGGGCCCGGUGAAUCAUCCAGCGUUCUCGCUGGUGCACUUUGCCGGGCUCAGGCCAGCAUCAGUUCGCCCCGGGGGAGAAAGGCUCUGGGAAUGUGGCUCCCCCGGGAGUGUUAUAGCCCUCCUGCGCAAUGCCCUGGGGCGGACUGAGGUCCGCGCG
rnacentral:rRNA from 1 species